AAACCUUUUUAAAUUAGUCCAGUGAGGCUAGUAAGGGGAGUGGAGAUUUAGUUAUAAAUUUCUUAUUAGUUAUAACUAAAGUUUAUUUAGAUUAUCCAGCCUUCUUACUAGUAAGAAGGCUUUUAUAGU
rfam:Orenia sp. Z6 2524618309, whole genome shotgun sequence.